rnacentral:rRNA from 1 species
AUUGAACGCUGGCGGCAGGCCUAACACAUGCAAGUCGAACGAGUGGCGGACGGGUGAGUAAUGUCUGGGAAAACGCCAGAUGGAGGGGGAUAACCACUGGAAACGGUAGCUAAUACCGUAUACCAUCAGAUGUGCCCAGAUGGGAUUAGCUAGUUGGGGGGGUAACGGCGCACAAAUGCGACGACCCCUAGCUGGUCUGAGAGGAUGACCAGCACCACUGGAACUGAGACACGGUCCAGACUCCUACGGUAGGCAGCAGGGGGGAAUAUUGCACAAUGGGCGCAAGCCUGAUGCAGCCAUGCCGCGUGUAUGAAGAAGGCCUUCGGGUUGUAAAGUACUUUCAGCGGGGAGGCGUUACCCGCAGAAGAAGCACCGGCUAACUCCGUGCCAGCAGCCGCGGUAAUAC